UUGAUAGUGAUGUCAUGGGUGGAGGAAUUGAUGUAGCGAUUUUUUUGAGUAUAUGAACAGAAAUCUGAUGAGGUUAAAUGGUGGAUAAGGUUGCACAACAAAUCGAAAUCCAAAAGAUAGAUGUAAAACCAAAGCAGUAAAUCAGGCUAUUGUGGAAGAAAUAGUGUUCGUA
rnacentral:ncRNA from 1 species